UUUACCCUACGGGGGGCAGCAGUGGGGAAUAUUGGGCAAUGGAGGAAACUCUGACCCAGCAAUGCCGCGUGAAUGAAGAAGGUCUUCGGAUUGUAAAGUUCUUUAGUCAGGGAAGAAGUCAAUGACGGUACCUGAAGAAUAAGCUCCGGCUAACUACGUGCCAGCAGCCGCGGUAAUACGUAGGGAGCAAGCGUUGUUCGGAAUGACUGGGCGUAAAGGGUGCGUAGGCGGUUGGACAAGUUUGAAGUGGAAUACCCCGGGCUUAACUCGGGGGCUGCUUCUAAAACUGUAUGACUUGAUUGCAG
rnacentral:rRNA from 1 species